rnacentral:rRNA from 1 species
GUAGGUGGCAAGCGUUGUCCGGAAUUAUUGGGCGUAAAGCGCGCGCAGGCGGUCCUUUAAGUCUGAUGUGAAAGCCCACGGCUCAACCGUGGAGGGUCAUUGGAAACUGGGGGACUUGAGUACAGAAGAGGAAAGCGGAAUUCCAAGUGUAGCGGUGAAAUGCGUAGAGAUUUGGAGGAACACCAGUGGCGAAGGCGGCUUUCUGGUCUGUAACUGACGCUGAGGCGCGAAAGCGUGGGGAGCAAACAGGAUUAGAUACCCUGGUAGUCCACGCCGUAAACGAUGAGUGCUAAGUGUUAGGGGGUUUCCCGCCCCCCUUAGUGCUGCAGCUAACGCAUUAAGCACUCCGCCUGGGGAAUACGGCCGCAAGGCUG